AUUGAACGCUGGCGGCGUGCCUAACACAUGCAAGUCGAGCGGCAGCGCGGGAGCAAUCCUGGCGGCGAGCGGCGGACGGGUGAGUAACGCUUGGGAAUCUGCCUGUUAGUGGGGGACGAACCCGGGGAAACGUCGGGCUAAUACCGCAUACGCACUACGGUGGAAAGCCGGGGACCCGCAAGGCCUGGCGCUAACAGAUGAGCCCAAGUCGGAUUAGCUAGUUGGUAGGGUAACGGCCUACCAAGGCGACGAUCCGUAACUGGUCUGAGAGGACGACCAGUCACACCGGAACUGAGACACGGUCCGGACUCCUACGGGAGGCAGCAGUGGGGAAUAUUGGACAAUGGGGGAAACCCUGAUCCAGCGACGCCGCGUGGGUGAAGAAGGCCUGCGGG
rnacentral:rRNA from 1 species